CCUACGGGAGGCAGCAGUGGGGAAUUUUGGACAAUGGGCGCAGGCCUGAUCCAGCAAUGCCGCGUGAGUGAAGAAGGCCUUCGGGUUGUAAAGCUCUUUUGUCAGGGAAGAAACGGCAGUUUCUAAUACAGAUUGCUAAUGACGGUACCUGAAGAAUAAGCACCGGCUAACUACGUGCCAGCAGCCGCGGUAAUACGUAGGGUGCAAGCGUUAAUCGGAAUUACUGGGCGUAAAGCGUGCGCAGGCGGUUUUGUAAGUUUGUCGUGAAAUCCCCGGGCUCAACCUGGGAAUGGCGAUGAAGACUGCAAGGCUAGAAUCUGGCAGAGGGGGGUAGAAUUCCACGUGUAGCAGUGAAAUGCGUAGAGAUGUGGAGGAACACCGAUGGCGAAGGCAGCCCCCUGGGUCAAGAUUGACGCUCAUGCACGAAAGCGUGGGGAGCAAACAGGAUUAGAUACCCUGGUAGUCCACGCCCUAAACGAUGUCUACUAGUUGUCGGGUUUUAAUUAACUUGGUAACGCAGCUAACGCGUGAAGUAGACCGCCUGGGGAGUACGGUCGCAAGAUUAAAACUCAAAUGAAAUUGACCGGNGUGAGAGAGCGACGACGACGACGAGGGAGGAGG
rnacentral:rRNA from 1 species